rnacentral:rRNA from 1 species
UUACUACUUGGAUAACCGUGGUAAUUCUAGAGCUAAUACAUGCUAAAAAUCCCGACCUCCGGAAGGGAUGUAUUUAUUAGAUAAAAAACCAAUGCCUUCGGGCUCCUUGGUGAUUCAUGAUAACUUAACGAAUCGCAUGGCCUUGCGCCGGCGAUGGUUCAUUCAAAUUUCUGCCCUAUCAACUUUCGAUGGUAGGAUAGUGGCCUACCAUGGUUUCAACGGGUAACGGGGAAUUAGGGUUCUAUUCCGGAGAGGGAGCCUGAGAAACGGCUACCACAUCCAAGGAAGGCAGCAGGCGCGCAAAUUACCCAAUCCCGACACGGGGAGGUAGUGACAAUAAAUACUGAUACAGGGUUCUUUUGGAUCUUGUAAUUGGAAUGAGUACAAUUUAAAUCCCUUAACGAGGAACAAUUGGAGGGCAAGUCUGGUGCCAGCAGCCGCGGUAAUUCCAGCUCCAAUAGCGUAUAUUAAAGUUGUUGCAGUUAAAAAGCUCGUAGUUGAACCUUGGGCCUGGCUGGUCGGUCCGCCUAACCGCGUGCACUGAUUCGGCCGGGCCUUUCCUUCUGGCCAACCUCAUGCCCUUCACUGGGUGUGCUGGGGAUCCAGGACUUUUACUUUGAAAAAAUUAGAGUGUUCAAAGCAGGCCUAUGCUCGAAUACAUUAGCAUGGAAUAAUAGAAUAGGACGGCGGUUCUAUUUUGUUGGUUUCUAGAGCCACCGUAAUGAUUAAUAGGGAUAGUCGGGGGCAUCAGUAUUCAAUUGUCAGAGGUGAAAUUCUUGGAUUUAUUGAAGACUAACUACUGCGAAAGCAUUUGCCAAGGAUGUUUUCAUUAAUCAGUGAACGAAAGUUAGGGGAUCGAAGACGAUCAGAUACCGUCGUAGUCUUAACCAUAAACUAUGCCGACUAGGGAUCGGACGGUGUUCAAUUUAUGACCCGUU